rnacentral:rRNA from 1 species
GAUGAACGCUAGCGGCAGGCUUAAUACAUGCAAGUCGAGGGGCAGCAUGACUGUAGCAAUACAGUUGAUGGCGACCGGCAAACGGGUGCGGAACACGUACAGAACCUUCCUUCGAGCGGGGAAUAGCCCAGAGAAAUUUGGAUUAAUACCCCAUAGUACAUUAGAGUGGCAUCACUUUGAUGUUAAAGAUUUAUCACUUGAAGAUGGCUGUGCGGCUGAUUAGGUAGUUGGCGGGGUAACGGCCCACCAAGCCUGCGAUCAGUAACUGGUGUGAGAGCACGACCAGUCACACGGGCACUGAGACACGGGCCCGACUCCUACGGGAGGCAGCAGUAAGGAAUAUUGGUCAAUGGACGAAAGUCUGAACCAGCCAUGCCGCGUGGAGGAUGAAGGUCCUCUGGAUUGUAAACUUCUUUUAUAUGGGACGAAAAAGGGUUUCUAACUCGUCUGACGGUACCAUAUGAAUAAGCACCGGCUAACUCCGUGCC